rnacentral:rRNA from 1 species
UACGUAGGGGGCAAGCGUUGUCCGGAAUUAUUGGGCGUAAAGAGCGUGUAGGCGGUCCGGUAAGUCAGCUGUGAAAGUCAAGGGCUCAACCCUUGAAUGCCGGUUGAUACUGUCGGGCUAGAGUCCGGAAGAGGCGAGUGGAAUUCCCGGUGUAGCGGUGAAAUGCGUAGAGAUCAGGAGGAACACCCGUGGCGAAGGCGGCUCUCUGGGCCGGCCCUGACGCUGAGGCGCGAAAGCGUGGGGAGCGAACGGG